rnacentral:rRNA from 1 species
AAUAGAUACCCGGGUAGUCCACGCCCUAAACGAUGCUCACUAGGUGUUGGGGAAGCGAUUCCUUGGUACCGUAGCUAACGCGUGAAGUGAGCCGCCUGGGGAGUACGGCCGUAAGGUUAAAACUCAAAGGAAUUGACGGGGACCCGCACAAGCGGUGGAUGAUGUGGAUUAAUUCGAUGCAACGCGAACAACCUUACCUACCUUUGACAUGUCCGGAAGCCUGCUGAAAGGUGGGUGUGCUCGAAAGAGAACCGGAACACAGGUGCUGCAUGGCUGUCGUCAGCUCGUGUCGUGAGAUGUUGGGUUAAGUCCCGCAACGAGCGCAACCCUUGUCCCUAGUUGCUACGCAAGGGCACUCUAGGGAGACUGCCGGUGACAAACCGGAGGAAGGUGGGGAUGACGUCAAGUCCUCAUGGCCCUUAUGGGUAGGGCUUCACACGUCAUACAAUGGACGGUACAGAGGGUUGCCAACCCGGCGAGGGGGAGCCAAUCCCAGAAAGCCGUUCGUAGUCCGGAUCGCAGUCUGCAACUCGACUGCGUGAAGUCGG